GGGAGCACAGCUACUCGUAUACCCUUGACCGAAGAAUGGUCCUCCUCUAUUGGGGAUGGUCGUCCUCUUUGACCAAGCACGCAGCUUCGAGAGGGACACACAUGGAGUGGCGAGGGAGGAAGGGGACACCUACCUAGUCAAAGAAGAUGUGGUCUAUGUCUACAAUGGAAUAUUCCUCAGCCAUCAAAAACAACGAAUACACACCAUUUGCUUCAACGUGGAUGGACCUGGAGGGUAUUAUGCUGAGUGAAAAAGAAUGGCCAAAGGCUAUAGGCUCUGAGGCUCUAGCUACCCUAAGAUCGAGGAGAGCAAUAUCUUGGCCUUCCAGUAACACCUGUGUGCACUGGCCAGACUAGUUGACAAGCUCUGCAACUUGCCCAAAGGCCCAUGAAGAUCUGCAUACAGGGACACCUGAGUGGGUCAGUGUUUGGGCGCCUGCCUUCGGCCCACGGCAUAAUCCGGGAGUCCUGGGAUCGAGUCUUGCGUUGGCUCCCUGCGUGGAACCUGC